GACGAACGCUGGCGGCGUGCUUAACACAUGCAAGUCGAACGGAAAGGCCCUGCUUUUGUGGGGUGCUCGAGUGGCGAACGGGUGAGUAACACGUGAGUAACCUGCCCUUGACUUUGGGAUAACUUCAGGAAACUGGGGCUAAUACCGGAUAGGAGCUCCUGCUGCAUGGUGGGGGUUGGAAAGUUUCGGCGGGUGGGGAUGGACUCGCGGCUUAUCAGCUUGUUGGUGGGGUAGUGGCUUGCCAAGGCUUUGACGGGUAGCCGGCCUGAGAGGGUGACCGGCCACAUUGGGACAGAGGUACGGGCAGGACUCCUACGGGAGGAAGCAGUGGGGAAUAUUGCACAAUGGGCGGAAGCCUGAUGCAGCAACGCCGCGUGCGGGAUGACGGCCUUCGGGUUGUAAACCGAUUUCGCCUGUGACGAAGCGUGAGGGACGGUAAUGGGUAAAGAAGCACCGGCUAACUACGUG
rnacentral:rRNA from 1 species